GCCAGUGAUAAACUGGAGGAAGGUGGGGGAGUGACGUCAAAUCAUCAUGCCCCUUAUGACCUGGGCUACGAACGUGAUACAAUGGCUGAAACAAAGGGCAGCGAAGGAGCGAUCUGGAGCGAAACCCAAAAAAGCAGUCUCAGUUCGGAUUGAAGUCCGCAACUCGACUUCAUGAAGUCGGAAUCGCUAGUAAUCGCGGAUCAGAACGCCGCGGUGAAUACGUUCUCGGGGUUU
rnacentral:rRNA from 1 species